rnacentral:rRNA from 1 species
CGCCAGACUCCUACGGGAGGCAGCAGUGGGGAAUAUUGCACAAUGGGGGAAACCCUGAUGCAGCGACGCCGCGUGAGUGAAGAAGUAUUUCGGUAUGUAAAGCUCUAUCAGCAGGGAAGAAAAUGACGGUACCUGAUUAAGAAGCCCCGGCUAACUACGUGCCAGCAGCCGCGGUAAUACGUAGGGGGCAAGCGUUAUCCGGAUUUACUGGGUGUAAAGGGAGCGUAGACGGUGCAGCAAGUCUGAUGUGAAAGGUCGGGGCCCAACCCCGGGACUGCUCUGGAAACUGCGUCGCUGGAGUACGGGAGGGGCAGGCGGAAUUCCUGGUGUAGCGGUGAAAUGCGUAGAUAUCAGGAGGAACACCGGCGGCGAAGGCGGCCUGCUGGACCGUGACUGACGUUGAGGCUCGAGAGCGUGGGGAGCAAACAGGAUUAGAUACCCCCGUAC